AAACACCAGUUCUCAUUUGAUCACCAAAGUUAAGCACCAUUGAGCCUGGUUAGCACUUUGAUGAGAAACCACUUAGGAACAAUAUGU